rnacentral:rRNA from 1 species
AUUGAACGCUGGCGGCAGGCCUAACACAUGCAAGUCGAACGAGUGGCGGACGGGUGAGUAAUGUCGGGGAAACUGCCCGAUGGAGGGGGAUAACUACGGGAAACGGUAGCUAAUACCGCAUACCAUCGGAUGUGCCCAGACGGGAUUAGCUAGUAGGGGGGGUAACGGCUCACCUAGGCGACGAUCCCUAGCUGGUCUGAGAGGAUGACCGGCCACACUGGAACUGAGACACGGUCCAGACUCCUACGGUAGGCAGCAGUGGGGAAUAUUGCACAAUGGGCGCAAGCCUGAUGCAGCCAGGCCGCGUGUAUGAAGAAGGCCUUCGGGUUGUAAAGUACUUUCAGCGAGGAGGCGUUACUCGCAGAAGAAGCACCGGCUAACUCCGUGCCAGCAGCCGCGGUAAUUC